CCUACGGGGAGCAGCAGUGGGGAAUAUUGCACAAUGGGGGAAACCCUGAUGCAGCGACGCCGCGUGAGUGAAGAAGUAAUUCGUUAUGUAAAGCUCUAUCAGCAGGGAAGAAAAUGACGGUACCUGAGUAAGAAGCCCCGGCUAACGACGUGCCAGCAGCCGCGGUAAUACGUAGGGGGCAAGCGUUAUCCGGAUUUACUGGGUGGAAAGGGAGCGUAGACGGCAGUGCAAGUCUGGAGUGAAAGGCGGGGGCUCAACCCCCGGACUGCUCUGGAAACUGUACGGCUGGAGUGCAGGAGAGGUAAGUGGAAUUCCUAGUGUAGCGGUGAAAUGCGUAGAUAUUAGGAGGAACACCAGUGGCGAAGGCGGCUUACUGGACUGUAACUGACGUUGAGGCUCGAAAGCGUGGGGAGCAAACAGGAUUAGAUACCCGAGUAGUC
rnacentral:rRNA from 1 species